rnacentral:lncRNA from 1 species
UUUUUUUGCUGCUUUUAAGAUAUUUAUUUAUUUAUUUAUUUCCCUCCCCCAUGGCAUACGGAGCCCCUGGGCCAGGGAUCAAAUCUGAGCCUCAGUUAUGACCUAGGUUGCAGUAACACCAGAUCCUUAACCCACUGUGCUGGGCUGGGGAUUGAACCUGCGUCCCAGUGCUCCCAAGAUACUGCCAAUCCUGUUGUACCACAGCAGGAACUUAUCUUUAUUGUAUUUUUGAGAGUUUUACUAAAAUGUCUUCAAGGAUAUUUCUUUAAGUUGAGUUAGUUUGAUGACCUAUGAACUUAAUGAACUUGGAUGUUGAAACCUCUUCCAGAUUUGGAAAGUUCUCCACCAUUAUUCCUUUAAAUAAGUUUUUCAUUACUUCUCACUCUGGGAUUCCUAUAAUUUGCAGAUUUAUUCUUUCAGUGGUAUUUCACAGACUUUCUUCAAUCUCCACUUUGUUCCUCUUUGAGUGAAUAAUUUCAAAUUUUCUGUUUUCUCAUUCCCAGAUUCUUCCUUCUGCUUGCUUCAUUUUGACUUUGAUGGUCUCUAUUGCAUUUUUCAUUUCAUUCACUUUAUUCUUCAGCUCCACAAUUUAUUUUUGGUUCUUUUUUAUGAUUUCUGGCUCUUGUUAAACAUCUCAAUUUGUGUAUUGUUUUCCUGAUUUUAUUGACUUGAUUUUCUGUGUUUUCUUAUAGCUCAUCAAGCAUUCUUAAAAUAGUUCUUUUGAAUUCUUUAUUAGGUAAGUUACAGAUUUCAUGUUUUGGGGGUAGGUUACUUGAACAUUAGUUGUGAUCCUUUGGUGGUGUUGUGUUUGCUUGAUUAUUCAUGUUCUUUGAAUUUGCAGCAGUCACCUCCUCCAGUCUUUACUAAUUGACUUUGGAGAGAAAUAGCCUUGCUAAGUCUGAGGCUUUCUCAGACUUUCUAUGGAUAUGCCUACUCUCUGAUUUUUGCUCUCCUUUGGGACAUAAUUCAUCAGAUUGUAUGCCUUUCCUUGAUCCUGCAAAGGCUCAGAGCUAACACUUCCCCUUUGCUUUCCCAAAAGUCAUUCUUAAAUUCAAAAUUGUGGUUUCAUGCUGGCUGGUAGAUUUGAACAGGCUUUUUGCACAUGCUUACUAGGUAUCUAGCAAAGAUCAUUCUUGAUAAUGUCAAGAGUGCAGAGAGAGCUGGCCAGAGCAUAUGGAGGUAUGUUGGUGAGGCACAUGGAAUUCUGGGGGUCACUGUGGACCAGUUGAGAGAAUACAUGGAUGAGGUAUCAGUAGAAUCUCAUGGGAAGACUUCUUGAUGGAGCCUCUGUCCAGUUAAUGGGCUCUGUAUCUAUUUUAAUGUUCUCCUUGAGUCCUAUAUGUCACUCUCCCAGGCUCUCCCAACCUCCCAGUCAUAUAGCUCACACUACUCAAGACUCCAAAGGGAGCAAGGUAAAUGAGCCUCUUUGGCAACAUUUCUCACAUCUGGGGAACCCAAGUGAUCAAUCACUCCCACACUCCUACUUUCCCCAGUGGAAAGUGGGCUCAGAAGUUCUCACUUAGCAUUGAGCUGUUCUGCUUUGGGGGGUGGGUUUUACAGGUAAAGCCAUUCGCUUACCUUUUCCAAGGAAUCCAAACUUGUGUUUUCAACUCUAAUUUUGUGCUGGAUCUUCUCUGCUGCAAACCUGGACUUCUGCAAAUCUUUCAAGUUCAUGGUUGCCUGUCUAAGACAGUGUUCUCCAGGGACUCUUGGAAAUAGGAGGAGCUAGGGCCAAUUCAUAGACCAGCACAUGGCCCACAACCAUGUGCAUGCAGGUGGACAAGUUUCCUCCCACUCCUUGGCGUAUGGUGCUGGAUCCCAGAGCACCUCUGAAGGUACUUUUGUCCAUGGAUAGAUGCUGAGUUUUUGUUGUGGAAGGAGGGGGAUAUUAGACAAGGAUGUCUUAUCUGCCAUGUUGCAGAUGGCUUUGGAAGUAGUGGAAGGGACUUUGGAAGUAGUGGAAGCUGGGGGUUCUUUGGUAAUUGUUCAGUUCAUGUGGCUAAUCUGAGUUAUUCACCAGAUGGCUAAAGCUGAAUAGAGGUGCCUGAGUCCGACUAAUUUCCUAACUAAAGUUAACCUAGUGGCUGGGAUAUAUUGGUGCAAUUUAUAGCAUAGAAAUGCCUCCUGCCAUCCAAGCCCUUGGCAAUGAUUUAUUGCAGAUGGGUAGUUCAGGGUGUUGUACACCUAAUUCAGGUGUUAUUAAUGCAUCCAGGUGUAGCCCCACCAGAUCAUAUUUCUUUCCUCAAAGUCACUCUGGUAUGUCUGCUAUUCUGAACAACUAGUGUAAACACAAAACUGUAACAGAAUACGUUUUUAAAAUUGAUUCUUCUUAGAGAUCUUAUUUCAUAGGUUAUUACUGCAAAGGUAGGCUGCACUGGAGAAGUGAAUGGGAGAGAAAAGGAGCUGGAGGGAAAUGCGUGGAAAAAAUGCUACUAAAGAAGUUGUGGGUGAGCUAGGCAAGUGGGUUACUUACUCGGAAGGGCUUUCUCAUGAACAUUCAGCUUGUACCUGGAUAUUGCUGUGUCUGUUAAUGAAGAGAGCCUGUGCUUCUACCCACACAUUCUAAUCUGAUCCUCAGCUCUGGAGUCCUGAUCAUCCUAUGCCAUGACUGAUUAUUCUUUUAUAUCUUGGAAGACAAGGAAUGAUGAGGCAUUAAUAGAGAUGCUUCUAAUGUGCCAAUGUUUGGAAGAAUGAUUCUAUAUGUGGCUGGGGAAAAAAAGACAUGUAUUAACGCAAAAAUGAUCAGGAGGCCAGGGUGUCUGAAGUUUUUUGAAAAACAGUGGCAUUGAGGUCCAUGAGCGAAAUGGCAGCACACACAUGAUAAUGAAUUUACUGCCCUUGUGCCACUGUGAUAGAGGGCGAUUACUUCUGACUAGUGAAUUACACUGCAGAAUAUUGAUUUCCUUGUUCAGAACUAGCACUGGGCAAAUGGCUUGCCUGACCCUCUCAUGAACAUGCUGUGUGAGUGUUGGCUCAAUCAAAUGUUUAGUAGAUGAAAAAAAAUGUUUCACCCUUGGAGGGGGGUAGCCCAUACCCAGAACAUGAGGAAGAAAAUGCUAGUGAGAGGGGUGGAUUAUCCUGACAUUCUGGAAUUCUAACACAUGGAGUGGGUGGCGAAUUAGGUUUUAUUAAGUAAAAUGUUCUGAUUACAUAAUCAGGUCUAACAGGUGUGAGGAAAACAAACAAAAGGAAAACAGUGCUGAUUUGAUUUCCUUGGUGCACUGUGGUCUAGGAGGAGUUUGGCUUAAGGGAGGAGUCAAAAUCCCUAGUGAUUGGAGUUCUCCUCGUGAGUCAGUGGUUAAUGACUCACAACCAGUAUCCAUAUGGACAUGGGUUUGAUUCCUGGCCUGGCUCAGUGGGUUAAGGAUCUGGCAUUGCCAUGAGCAGUAGUGUAGGUCGCAGGUGCGCCUCGGAUCCCACAUGGCUGUGGUGUAGGCUGGCAGCUACAGCUCAAUUCAACACCUAGCUUGGGAACCUCCACAUGCUGCGGGUGUGGCCCUAAAAAAAAAAAAAAGACAAAAAAAAAUUACUAGUGACUACACAUAAAAGCACAGAUGCAUUUGGUUUUACCUACACUGGUGUAAUUGUCAGAGGAAGUAUAGUGAGAUGACACCACCAGCAAACAGGGCUUGGAGACAAAGAGCUUGUGCAGUUAGAUGAUUAAGAGUUUGAUUUGGUAGGAGGGAUGGGCUGGGUGUUUGGGAUUGGCACAUGCAUACUGAGGUAUAUGAGUUUAAUGGGGACCUACUGUAUAGUACAGAGAACUCUACCCAGUAUUCUGUGAUAAUCUACAUGGGAAAAUAAUCUGAGAGAAUGGAUAUGUGUAUAUGUAUGACUGGGUUGCUCUGCUAUACAACAGACAUUACCAUAACCUUAUUAAAUAUACUCCAAUAAAACUUAAAACAAAACAGUUUGAUUCCUAAAUGAUGGCCUCUAAUCUGUGUGGGACUCCUUGGGUGAUUCCAGAAGGCACUCUGGUUUUUGCUUACUUGUUUUUAAUUUGUUUAUUUACUUAGUUAAAAGUCAAAGCAUGUUGGACUCAACUCUUAUCAAGCAUAUUUGAGAAAUGUAAGUAGUGUAAAGGUAAAAUCCAGCAUGAAACUUCACAGUAGGAUUUGUUAAACACAGAGCUCACUAGUGAGUUUGAAAUAGCUCACAAAACACCUGAACGACCCCAUCCUCCCUGCCCCCCAGCCAAGUGCAUUGUGUGCACUUGUAUCUCUUCGGAUUUCUUGUCUUGAGAGCAAGCCUGUUUUUUUCUCUUCAGAUUUUCAAAGUGUAGCCUCACAUCCAAAGGUUUGAGAGUGGUAGGCUUUCUUAUCUUGAGGUCUUCCCAGAAGAAGGGGGUCCUUCCUAGCUGAGUGUGGACUGAGAUGCCUGAUGACUGCCCAAAGGCUCUGCCUUAGCUUCCAACAUGGCUUUGUCUUAUUUCCAGAGACAGAUGUGAGCUAUGUAAAGAUGCAGAAGGAAGUCUGAAGACUUCAGACCUUGAAAGGACUCCUGACACCAGCUCAUCUAACAUUCAUUUUGCUGAUUGGGAAGUCAAGGCCCUGGAAGGUACAGUGACCCGCUGCAUACCCCACAGCAAAUCCAAGGCUAUGUUUAGACCAGAAGACACCUUUUUUCUUCCUGUGUCAUAUCUAUUUCCUCUACCUAUACCCAUUCCUCAAAAAAGAGGAGAAACUGGCAGGCAAUGCACAUACUACCUUUAACAUGCAGAAUCUGAUGGAAUUUCAUCAAGAGCCUAUCUGGGAGUAGAUCCCACUGCACUGUGGGUGGAAGGUAGGGCCUGGUCCCUCCUCGCUCAGAAAUUACUGUCAGCAGCACAAAACACACCAAUGUCUAUGCAUAGACCUCCUCCCACCCACUCAAUAGGAAGUUUAAUCUUUUGGAUUUCUUCUCUUAUGUUAUCUCUUUCUUUUAAUUUGUCUUGCCUUUGAAACUCUAACAUGGACACUUAGAAUAGAAUGUUGUAUUUAACAGACAGCAUCUGUGGCCAUACAUCUUAGUUCCUGUCUAUAUCCCUUCCCAAGUGGUCAAAUAUGAAUGAGAAGAACUAUGGGCAUAUGAGUGCAAAGAAUGGCAUGGCAAUGGCUUGCAUCGGUGACAUGACAGAGCAUUUAUUUUACUUUUCCUUCUCUGCUUCCCUCAUCCCUCCAAGGGAAGCCAAGGACCACAUAUGCACUGUGUGGCUUCUGCUCUUCUGCCCUUUGCAGAACACCAUCGUGUGUGGCUUGAUGGAGUCACCUGGUUCCCCCAUCAACUCUGCAAGUGGAUAAAGCCUGGUCUGAGCUUUGCCCUCUGCCUCGUACAUCCUCCUGCUCUUCAGAGAGAAGUUAAAAUGAAGCACAGAGUCAAGGGGGCGGGAUGGAAGGUGUGGGGACUCGAUGACCUGAGAAUUGAACCAACAAUACACAGAUAAGUCAAAGGAGACCCACAAACGUUUCUGGGCUUUUGAGCACAACACUUGUCAGGAUGAUGUGAUAGGAUCAUUAAGAGCCUUAUCUGGAGACUCCUCUUUUCAUUACUACCUCCUAUUAUUUUAAAGAUGAAUCUUGGGAAUAACAGGUGUCACCUGUUUUGAAGAAUUAAGUAAUUAAGUAAUUACAGUAAAUACCACACGUGUGGGUGCACACACACACACACACACACACACACACACACACACUGAGAGGGGACUCUGAGAAUUCUAUCUAGUCUCGAUGUAUUUUCCUUCCCCAGACUUGAGGACAUAUGGCAGUUUAUUCUCCCUUGUUUUAGUUGUGUCAUAUAGAGAACAAAACUGAGCAGCAGCUUGGGGCUAACAUCACUUCUCUUCCACUGUCUUUUAUCAAACAACACUCCCUUCCAAGUGCUUCAGUGCCCAUCCCUCAAGCUCUCCUCAAGGAGCCGCUUCAAAAAUCUGCAGAAAGAGCAGUUCUGAUGACGUGCUUUUCCUUCGUCUGAGCCGUUCAAGAAACAAAGACAAAGCACCGUCUGUCCAACUUGCCCAGAUUUGUACCUGCAAUUGUCAUUUACAAAAAAUGUAGCUUUUCAAGAUUUUUAUCAUGGAAAUCAUAUAAAGUCUGAGAUUACUUGAGUAUUUAAUUUUGAAGAUAUAAAAAAAGAUUAGUAAUCUUGCAUUAUAACAUCUUAUACAAAAGAUAAAGAAGAGGAACCCAACUACUAGUGGUAGCAUUGAAUUAAGACCUAGUCUUACUGGAGUUCCUGCUAUGGCUCAGCAGUAACAACCUGACUAGUACCUACGAGGAUGUGGGUUUGAUCCCUGGCCUUGCUCAGUGGGUUAAGGAUCUGGCUUCGCUGUGAGCUUCAGUGUAGGCAUAGACACAGCUUGGAUCCUGUGUUGCUGAGGCUAUGGUGUAGGCCAGCAGCUGUAGUUCCAAUUCAACCCCUAGCCUGGGAACUUCCAUAUGCUGUGGGUGAGGUCCUAAAAAGCAAAAAACAAAACAACAACAAAAACAAACAACAACAAAAAUAAACCCACCUAGUCUUACUGGUUAGCAAUUCAGUUUCUUAUUCAAAAUACCGUGUUGAUACUCAGAAAAUUCCAAAGAGCAGACUCACUGGAAGCCAGGUAAGUGCUAUGGCCAUACCCAACUUCUAUUUCUAGGAAGUUCUAAUCAAACAGAUACCCUCACAGAGGAAUAAUUCCUUUUCAAGUAAUGCUAACAAUCCCUAAAUUAUGGAAAUAAACUCAUGUACUUUCAUAAUAUGCCAGUAGCAGAUAUCUAGGUUAUCUGGAGGUUCGCAUGGGGGUAAAAUCAACAUUCAAAAAACAAAACCCAAACCAAGUCUGCUCCAUAAGGGAUCAUGAACCCAAACACAUCAAGCAGAUGCUGUAACAAGCAAGUCUGAGCUGAGGAACUGGGGGUCUUGUCUACAGAAAGCUGUGCUGUUCUAGACGCAUGAUAAGAACAGGCUGGGAGAGAGAGGGAGCUGUGGGGACAGGGAACCUGAGAAUUCAGAGACUCAGAGAUCUCACUCACUCAGGAAUCACAGGGAUGCUGAUAUGCAUGUCUUGUCUUGGAGGAAGGAGGAGACACUCAUGGAAAGACUGCCUGAAUUGAGAGCAGAGAGGGCUGAGCACAUAUGCUUCAGGAUGGCCUGAUGGGGCAGUUAUGGGGACAAAAAAGGAGACACACCCAUCCACUCAAAACUCAAUGAGCAAGUUCUGAGCCAAAUUAGUUCUGGGAUCUGGUUUAAAAUAAACCUUAAAAAAUGCUUGAAAGAGGUAUUAUUAGUGCCUCACAUGGAUACACGUGAUCUCCUUUCUUAGCUGUUUGCCUGGUGAACAGGGGUAAUUGACAGGAGGUUCCUGAGCACACGCAUUUGGCCAGCAGUAGCAGGUGCAGGUGCGGUCACUUGCCACAUCUCCUUCUGCAUCGAUUUUUUCUCCUCUAACGAGAAGAACCUUAAAUUUUUACCAUUCUAAGAAUUAAAAAAAAAAAUUGUUGAUUUUUUUUUUUUUUUUUUUUUGCUGUUCCCAGAUC